UACCCGACUGGGUGGGCAACUGGCGGCCGCAUCUGCCGCUGGUGGUGCGUCGUGACCGGCGUGACGAGGGUUCCAUUCCGGUCGGGGUAC
rnacentral:tRNA from 1 species